CAGUGAAAUUCUGUAUAUUUUUAACAACUUUGCAGCUGCUGCAAUCUCUUGGUUGUUGUUUAAAUUUGCUGAUAAAGCUAUUUGAGGAGGAGGGACAGUGGUAGACUCCUGAGGAGUCUGAAGAGAAAGGCACAGGCCUCUCCCUCCUUUCACCCAUGCACUCAAUGACUUGGAUUUCUUUGUAACUUAAGCCGGUGGGACACAACCAUGUGUCUUGGUCUUGGGGCUCACACUGGUUGCUUUUUUUUUUUUUUUUUUUUUAAACCCUCUCUGCCCAAGAAAAUUCUGAAUUGGUUUACUAAACUGUCCUGACUCUUGUGCUGAAGUCUGAGUUUGUAAGCCCACAUCUUUGAAAAGGGGUGUCUUUAAAGAACCUUCUCCACAGUUUCCACAUCAGCUAUUCAAAGAGGAAGGAGUAUCAACAGAGUGCCAUGUCAGUCAUAUCAAAACAAAGAGAAGCAAAAGAGGGCCCCAUGCCAACCAGUUGCUUUUGCAGUUGGUCCAACAACUGGAUGUUAAAUAGAAAGUGAAGUUAAAAAUGGUUGUCAGACUGGAUGAUCAAGAUGGGCCCUUCGAGUCCUGAAGCCUAUGGAGCUCUGAUCUAAAAUGACAUGAUCACACACCACUUUCCCCUCAGCGAUGCUGACUUCAGUGCACCAGGAGUCACCAAACAAGGAUUUUGGAAGAUGCAUAUGAUUUACCAGUCUACUAUGCUAACAUCAUUUUGACAGGUGUGAUGCAUCAACACAGUAUUAUAAGCUUAAGAUAAAUUACAGCAUUCUUUUUCAUCAAGCAGCAAACUGCAGUGGAGUAUUGCACAAAGCUCAGUGUGUUCAGUCAGUAGGCAUUUGUGCCUGCAGCCUAAAAUAGAAUGUCUUUCUGUGAUGGGUUAAUCCCUCUUUGGCUCUGAUCCUGGGUAGAUUACUAGUUAUAGCAUGCCAUGAAAGACUGCUGUGUAAGGCAAGUAUUUCACUUAAGUCACUUACCACAUUUUCUGGACAACAGAAAUUUCUUGUGCAUCUGCUAGAAAUGUGGGGAUAAUUUAAUUGCCUUUGCUAAGAUUUCCAAUGUAAUUUAAUAAUCAUUUUUAUUAGAAUGUGCAUAUUGUUAGAAGUUAUCAGAACACUGUUACUCCUGGUGCAUUCUGAACAGCAGGUAGAAAAAUCAGACUUUGAUUUUGACUAGGGGUCCUAAUCAUUUCUUUUCAUAAUUUAGAGCACAAAAUGUGUUUGGUCAUUCUCUAUCACUUAUUAUCAUUAUUAUUAUUAUUAUUUUUAAUUCUGGUUGUCUGAACUGUAUGACAAGACCGCAUUCUACUUUACAUUUACCCAAAGGUCAAUAAAUAUCAGAACUUGGCAAAGAAACAAUGAAUAUUCUUCAAACAUUUCCCUGCAAGAAAAAUAGGCUCAUUUCAGCUGAGUGGAUGUCUCUAUUUGAAGGAUAUUUUUCACUGACAUUCAAUUAAUUGAAUUUUCCUGAAGUGGAUGUAUGUAGAAGCUAAGUGAUAAAUUUUAGGAAGUGUACACUUUUAUUUCCCUUAGUUUUAGUGCCAAGUAGGGCUGCAUUUAUAGUGCUUCAUUUUUAAGAUGGUCUAUACAGUGAUUUUUAUCAAAUGGUCCUAUUUGAAAUGUUCUAGCUUGGUAUCCAAAUCAUUAUCUUCAUUUGCAAGUCAGCAAAAUUCUGUGGAUUACAAACACUUAAGCUUUCAGAGCUUGACAUGUGGUCAGAGAAUGGAAAUGGCACUGUGCAAUGGCCAUAACUAGCCAAAUCUCCCAGAUAUUUUGUGGGAGCUUUAUGUAUGAAGAAAUGUUGAGAUGUUAGAAAAAUAGGACAUUAACCAAAAGUAAUGAAAAUGUCAGCAAAAAGUACUGAGUUAAAAUUUAUAAAGAUAAUUCUUGAGGAAAUUAAUUUGUAAACAUUUGUGAAGGGAAAGGAGAAAAGCUUGUGAGAGAAACAAAUACUUGAAAUAAAUAUGGGUAACUAUAAGGAGCAGGAAUUGUUUUUAUUUUUUUUAUUCUAAUAUCAUUGCUAUAUUUUGUCUUUUUUUCCAUUCUAUUUCUAUUUAGAUUUUAGCUCAAAAUGGAGAUGGACUGAUCUAAAAUAUUCGUCAAAAAUGCUUAAACACAUUGAGAACCCAAAUAUACUUUUAAAUAUGGUCAAUGUGUGUCUUUUGUACAUAGAUCUGUGUUCAUAGUACUAGAAAACUGUUGAGGCCAAAUAGUAGAGAGCUUGGACCCUGACGGUAUGCAGUCUUGUUUACACAGAUUAGACUGAAUAGAAAGUCUAUGGCUGGCUGUGAAGACUGCAAGAUUUUCAGGCUGAACAGGCUCAUAUGGAAGCAGCUGAGGCUUUGUAUGAAAAAGUUAGCUUUGUAAAUGAGGAAAGUGAAUAACUGAAUAAAUGCUCAAAUCUUACUCCCUUUUGGUAUAAGAAAGUGGGAGAUACUCUGCAUGGGUGAUUAACUGUAGUGCAGUGAUCACUUUUCAGUCCAGCCUCGACUCCAUUUUAGACAUCAAAAAAAGGUUUAUAAAGCAAAGUAGUCUUCAAAAUUUUCUGUUAACAAUCAUUCUGAGGAAGAGAUUAAAAAAUGUCAAUGAAAUCAGAAAGUCAAGAGGUUUAUUUGGCAUAAUGGGUGAACAGGGAAGUUCUGUUUUUCAAGGAAGAUCAGGGAGUUCAAUGGUAGGUACAAGGCCACAGUACUAAAUGCUGACAUGGACUUUCCAAGGUUGCCCAGAGUAGUGCUAAAGUCAAUAAUUCCAUAUUGCACCUGUCAGAAGCUACAACAUAAUUGCUUUGAAGUGAGGCAUAUUAACAUCCAUGUGCUCAGCAAACUAAGCAAUUAUAAACAGGUCUCUGCUCUCCCUGUUGGCUGUUAUAAUUAUUUGUUCAAUUUGUUGCUUUGCCUCAAUUCUAGUUAAUGUGACUUAUGAGCACUUAGCACAUGCUGGAAAGACAAGGGAGAGAUGUGGCUGCUGGUAGUCUGGCAGUAGUCCACAAACUGUGACCUUAUAGUGACAGGCAAAGAUGGGGCUGAUAGUCAGGAAGGAGUACAGGAUUGUAGGGCAGGAUGCUGCCAGUUGGCAUGGAAACACUAACUCUCAAAGCAUUAAGAUUUUAAAGAAACCAAACUUUUCUUUUCUUUUCUUUUUCCUAGAACAAGAUAGCAAAUGAUUUUGUAACAGUUGCAGAGACUGCUGAUUUUGCCUUUACAAGAUCAUACACACAGUACUACAGGAAUUUGAAAAAAACAUAUAUCUCUCAAUAUAUUACAUGGGAAAUGAGGAAAAUUGUGUUCUUAUGAAAUUUGUUAUCACUGAGUUCGCCCAAUAUGCAGGUGAUUACUUGAAUUUUCCAAGCAGCAGAUGUUCGGAAAUGGGGAGACAGAAGCUGGCCAAGAAAGCUGCCUCAGCAGCAGUGUGGGUUAUAAAUUCAGCAUGGACAAUCUGUUCUUCAAAGUAGAGCUAAAGUGAUUUAAAAGGUUCGUCAAGGUCACGUAGGAAUACUGUACAGGAGUGCUCCAAAGCACCAGCUGUCAGGACUGUCAAGUCUUGCUAAUGAACAGUGGAAUUUGUAGAAAAUAAUACUAAUGCUAAUUGAAACCUGAACAGCUUAGAAGUCUAGCAGGUUAUUGCUAUUGAUUCAUAUCCUAUGAUAAUGUCUCCUACAGAGCAUGCAGAAGUGCCUGUCUACCUGUAGUAUUAGCUAAUCCAUUGUUGAUGCCAUUCAUACAAGUAUCUGGAAGGUCUGAAGCCCUCUUCAGAGAGAGGGGCGUUCUAUUACUAUAGAAAUGAUGGAUCACUUUCUGAUUUUGUAAUAAAUUCUGAGCAGUAUCUUCACCUCAGAAAAGGAGAGGAAAGUGCCAAGAUAGCUUACAGUUCAUUAGGAUUUUUUCCAAGGGCUGGAGUGGGUCUGAAUAAUCUCAGUUAUAAUUUAAUUAAUCUAAUUAUCUUAGUUUCUGUUUUGGGGAAAGAGGUGGAGGCCUUUUUUAUAAAAAGGAUUAAUAAGGAACCAUUAAUAAGGAACCUAGCAGCAGUUGUGUCUUAGGUAUAUGUGCCAAGUCUGACCCUAGAGUUGAAAGAGAGAUAUGUAAAUUCUGGACCUUAAAAUGCUAAAUUGCCCCUAAAUUGCCAAUUAUGAUCACGUGUGUCUGCAUAGGAGAACAAAUCAGAACUCACCCUAGCUCUGGUCUCAUGGUCCAACUGCAGGCACACAGCACUGAGUUUAAUCAAACAAGCCUCACUUCUUCAUUCAGGAAUCUCUGAAGCUCCAUGGUAUGUAUUCCCUAUGUUCUUCUUUAAAUUCGGUUCCAUUUUAAAAUUAGAACUUACAUGGCACUAAGAAUAAUACCGAUAUCUAAGUAGACUGUCUCUCAAGGGUUACAUGACACAUGUAACAAGUAUGUUCAAUUUCAAUGCAGUUUGUAGACUUCGUUAAAGAGAGCAACAUUAUCCCACAAACAGCAUCCAAAACAUUCAAAAAAAUUUUAUAGACCAACAGUGAGGGCCUUGAUAAUGAAGAAAUUUGGUCAGUUUUUUCUCUACAUUGACUUAUGAAAUUUCUUUAAUUGAGUUUUAUGAAAUUCAUCUCAGAAAUUUAGUAAAUAAAAAUCACAGGUUGCAAAUGGUAUUUGUGUAGAUAUGUAAAAGAUCUACAGGAAGACCCUUUGAAUUUUGGGAAUGUGAGCCUAUUUCUACUACUCAAGUGGUACAGAUCCUGAGUGUCACUUAUUAAGUUAUUACUGCAAAACCACAGACUUCUCAUGUCACCAGUUGGACCUCCCUUUGCUUCUUGUCACUGCUUUUACUGUGCUGCCAGAACAAAUACAUUCAUUGAGUGGUAAGUUAUAAUUUUCCAGAUUUAUGCAGUGUUGGAAUAUUCCCCAUGGUAUCUUUCUGUGCACAUUUUGCAAUUCAGCUGCUUAAGGAAAAUUCUGGGAUUUGAAUUGCAAUUAUUUUUAAGUAACAAGUAAUUUAGUAUAAAAAUGGUCUGGUGAGUGUCACAGUUGUCUUUAUGGUCUUAAGUUUCAACUUCACACUGUGAAGACAGUAAGGUUUGUUCGUCAGCCAGAUCUUGAAGCUGAGAAUAGAAUUAAUUAACUGAGAUUGGCAGUAUAUGCUUUCCCUAUGUCAGGACAAAACUUUACCAGUGUUUUGAAAACAACCUUCCAGUUGUUUUUAUAUUAUUCUGACACUUUCUGGGAGUAGUUUUCAUAAACUGUUUUUACAAAUCACUGACAAAUAGGAUCGUAGAAUCAUAGAACAGUUUGGGUUGGAAGGAACUUUAAAGACCAUGGAGCUCCAACCGCCUGCUGUGGGCAGGGCUGCCAAUCAUCAGAUCAGACUGCCUGGGGUCCCAUCCAACCUGGCCUCAAAUAACUCCACAUAUGCCUAAUAUUGAACAAAAUGAAUAUAAAUAGUUCAAGAUUCAAGGAACUUAGGAUAUAUAAAGGCACCUAUAUAAUGCAGUUCAGUGCACAUUGAAUGUUCCAAGUAUGAUCAGUGUAAGACCUUGUCUUUCCAUUUUCACAUUCAUAUUUUCAGGUUAGCACGAAGAAAGUUACUGUUCUUUAAUACAAAUGAGAUGAUCAAAAUUAUAUUUAUCUAUCUGAAAGAUUUUGAAGAUUUAAUACCUCUGUUAGUCCAUCUGCAGAGCCAACAGAAAUCCCAAGGUGGCCAUCUGGACAGAUUUCACUUCUAACAUUCAGCCACCAUUACUGUCUCUUCUCUUAGAAAUAUGUAAUUUGUGGGAAGCAGACAGAAGCAGUGUUAAGACAGCUGCCUGAAGUCUAGCUUUCUGGUCAGGUAAGUGUGCUGCAGAAACUAGAGAUCCGCAUGGCCGAGGAAACUGUAUGGAGUGGUUAAAAAUAGCUGAUGCACUGAACUAGUCAGUUUUCAUAUUGGGCUCAUAUAGGGCAGAGACUGUUAAUGAUUGUUGAAGCGUGUAUUCAUAGGAAGUUGACCAUGUGGAAACCUGGCCCAAAUCACCUCAGUCCCCAGUACAUACAUAGAAAUUACCUAGAACCUUGUAAAUAAGGAAUACUCAUAAAUGUUUUUCUUCUUUUAAAAAUGACUUAAUGGUUACAGUUUUCCAUUCAGAAUACCUUUAACUGUUUAAUGAAGCAUCGUGUACAGUAUGAACUACAUAAUAAUUAUAGGUUUUGGAGCUGUUUGUAAGUGAUAGCUUACAAUAAAAAAUGUCUGACUUAAGAAAACAGUCUUGCUCACAGAAUAGUAAUUUUAGCAUAAAAGUUUAUGAUUUUUUAUAGCUUUAUAACAUUUGAUGAUGCUAUAAAGCCCUCACAGUCUUUACUGUUUAAAAUGAUUUGAUAGCACACAUACGUUGUGUGAAUGCUGCAUUCUUCAUCAAAUUUUAUUUUUGCUUCCCGUUCUGUUAAAAAAUAAAAAUGUAGCAUGCAAAUACAGAGAUGAUUAUUUCCUACUUCAGUGUUUUAAACAUUUGACGUAGAGUGGAUGGUUAAAAAAUGAAAAAAUGUUUGUAGUUCUUAAAAAUUUUCAUUAUAUAUGCAUGGAAAAAAUUAGAAAAAUGUAAGAUAAAUAGAAUGAGCAAUAUUCUGUGAGUUUUUGUUUUUGUGCUUUUGUUGUUGCUGCUUUUUUUUUUUUUUCCUAGAAGUGAAAUGAAUAUUGAUGAAAGAAAGGAAAAUAAAGAAAUCAAGAAGUACAAAUGAAACACAUCUGUAUGAUUGCUGUUUUCCCAGAGAAGAGCUGAAAUGCAGUAAGUAGCAUGGAAGGACUCUAUCAGUUACGGCUCUUUAAUGUAUACAAUGUAUUAAACGUAUAUAACGAUAAUGAAAUCUUCCUGUUCGCAGUUGGAUUUUACCUCUAAGGUUAGAUGGAAGGCCCAUAGCAGAGAUGAUACAUGUAUUCCUGUGUGGAUUUAUUUGUUAAAAGUAUGUUUAAAAUGUUUUAUAAUAAAAGUAAAAUCCACUGACGAAUAAUAUUAUUUGAUAUCUUUCAAUAUAAUUGCAAAAAUAAAAAGAUUCAAAUAUAUUAGAAAUUACACAUUAAAAUCAAAACCUACAAAAAUCUAAAUUGCUCUUUCUUAGCUAUUGUUUUCAAACUGUUGUUCUAAGUAAGGCCCAUGACAGGCCCAUGGCCACUUUUAGCUGUAAUGUAUGAUCUCGAAAAGCUUUUGAAAAGGUUUUACAGUACAACAUAAAUAUAGAAAUCCACCCUUUCUCAGUAAACUUAAGGUUAAAUAUACACAUAAAUUAAUGAUUAUAUUCAAGCUAACAACAUGUCAUUUGUUUUCAGUUAUGAAAUAUUCAAAGCUUUGUUAUGUUGGUGAACUCAGAGUGUCAAAGACAGACACACAUUGUUUGAAAAGCUUAAUCUGGAAAAAAAGAGAGUAAAGUUUGAAGAAGGAUAUGUGAGGACAUAUUUAACUACUGUAAGACUUCUUGCAUGCAUAGAUGUGCAUUUAUGUGUCACAUGCUCAUCAGAAUCUACCUACACACAUCAUAUUAACGUUGAUAUAUUAAGAAGUCUUCUUUAUUAGCGUCUUAAUUUCUCGAAUAACACUUUGGAAAAAAUACUUUACUCACAGGAUUUUUUUCCUUCUGCACUUUGGAAGAUCCUCAGAUCCUCACAGUUUACCUGAGAUGGAAAGAUUUAUGUUAUCUCAAAGUAAUGCCAGAAUGUACUCAUUCUAAUAAUUUCAGAACUAAUGAUCACAGACAGAUGACUAAAUCAACCUAGCAGCUCUUUUUCUGUGCUGAAGUCUUUCUGUAUUUACAGAUAAUAAAAGACUAGAAGUCUUAAUAACAUCUAGUAUAAUCAGCUUAAGAUUUUGAGUUUUAUAAUGGACACAUGAAACUGAUAAUUGUUUCCAGUAGGCACAUCUAUCUGGAGCUGGAAAGCUGUUUCAAAUUCACUUUUUCUAUAGAACAAGGGCUGCUCCAGAAGUAAUGCCUCCUGUUUUAUUAUGUUGGCCUACAAUGUCAGAAGCAGGUGUUCGUGGCACGGCAGCAGGAGCUGGACAUUCCCACCAAAAUUUCAUUAUAUUUUGUUGCUCUGUGACAGAUGAAAGAAGAGGGACAGUCUGAGAAAAUGGCAUUUGACAUAGAAGUAAAUAUGUGCAAUUGAAUUCCUCCAUGCAUAGAAAAAUUGUACCCAUUGACAUUCAUUGACACUUGCUGCAAGUUCGUAGAGACCAUACAGUGGGUGUGAGCACACUAAGGUGGAGGAUGGUGUGUUACAGCAGUGGCAACAGUGACGUGAAAGAUAAACCACGUCUUAUGAGAAAGGCAUGCAGGCACUUGUUCAUCAGUGUCAAAAAUGUGCAAUUAAUGGUUGCUACUACACUGAAAAUAAAUGUUUUGUGGCUGAGAAUAUUCUCUAUCAAAUAGUGCUAUUGUGCUGUUUGCAGGUGGUGAAUUUUUCAUGGAAAUAAAUAGGAGGCAUUACUUUCAGAGUGACCUAUGUAUGUUCUCCACUUUUUUUGAGAAGACCUAUUGAAGUUGGCAUAAUAAAAUAAUUUAUUCAGACAUUCAGUUUUCCUUAUAGUUCUGUCUUAGGCCCUUCCUUAUUGGACAGGCUACGUUUGACUUUUCAGAGGAGAUUAGGUCAAAGUCUCCAUCAGUUGCAGGGUCAGGAUUCUUUCCAUUUCCAACUCAAAAUCAGUCUUUUUUUUUUUUUUCUUGUAUCAUUGUACGGGAAAAUAAUAAAGAAUGUAUACUUUGUUUAGGUAUGUCUAUUACACAUUUGUGAGGUGGUCCCAUUGCUUUAAUGUAGAUGGAAUCUUUGCAGUAACAUAGAGAAAUGUGUUUACACAGUUAUGUUUAUUCACUCUCAUAUUCUGCCUUUGAAAGAAGGACAAAUGUAUUUGCCUAAACUGUAAAAUGCUUUUUGCUAAUGCCUCUGAAUUCUUUACACUUACUGUUUUCCCUUCUUCCUAUGUCUCUUUAUCCCUUUGGAAUAUGAUCCUUUUCUCUCUGUCAUUUAGAUUCCUAUUCUUGACUACUGCAAGAUUCUUUCCUGCUACAUAGGAACCUAUGUUUUUCAAGUUUUUACUUUUGACCAAAGCUGUGUUCUUUGGCUCAUUUUUUACCCUCUUAUAUAACCUUCACUGAACUGAAAAAAAUGAUACAAGAAUUGUCUUUUAAACUUGAAUGAAGCGAUAUCAAACACUGUGCUGCCUAACAUAGAGAAAUGAAUUGAUUUGGGGAAAUUAAAUAUUGAUAUUAUGCUCUCAGGGCCAGCACAAAACUAGGCAAUUUCACAAAUUUUGCAUGGACCUCUGAGAGUUAGUGUGAAAAUAUAUUAAAGUAAAGGAAGUAGGGCAAGUGGCUAAAAGAAAGGAGUCUGUAGCUGACAUGUCGGCAUUGUAAGUUUUCAGCCCUUCUGAGCAGAGCUCCACUGAAUGUAAAAUGGCAAAGAGGAGAGGGUCUUUUGUGUCUCUCCUCAGAUAGGGGCAUUGACAACCUGAUUCAUUUUCAGUACAUGCUCUUGUACCUGCAUGAAGCAACUGUAGAACUACAGAGGACUUUCACUUGAAUUUGGUCCCUAGCUUAAGCCAAACAAAAAGACUUCUCUUCACAAGCUGCAGAAAUAGUUAAAGGGUAAGAAAUUUCAUGUCGGUCAUCAGUAUCAGAAAGUACUGCUGUGAAUGGUUUUGAUUUAUUUUAGUCUAUCAAGCUGAAUGUUAAUUUUCAUGCUAGAAAGAUGUCUUUUCUUCCUUGAUUUAUUAAAUAAAAAUAGGUAAAAAAAAAAAAAAAAGAUUCUUUUAAAGAUACUCUUAAAUGUAUCUACUAUGAUUUAAAUUAAGCAUUAGCUUUUAUCUCUAAAAUGAAGAGCUCGGUUUACUUCUCUUAGUGACUUCGGUUUUAGAAGAAAAAAUUGUGUCCAUGUUCAGUUAUAUGUUCGAAAAACACUUAGUUACAGUCAGUUACAUAUACAUCUCCAAAUACCAGUAAAAUUUCCUCCACUUGUCUGUGUGUGUGUGUGUCUGUGUGUGCAGAUAAAGAUAGAUCGUCAAGCUCUUACCAUCUAGACACUCUUCUAUGUAUUAGGAAGGGAUACGUUGUGAAGUAGGGCAUAAGCUUAUAAUCUAAGGUCAUAGAUUUGGAACUGCCUUGGAAGUGGUGUGUGAUGCUCAGCAAGACUGCUUUUCUUAACCUUUAUUGUUUGUGAAAUUCAGAAAUGUGCUUCCUGCUCGUACUAGUAAAAAUAACUUGUCUUAUUUUCAAAAUGGAACACGUGUAAAAAACAGCAUGAAAUAUUUUUUUCUACUAAGGAAAGUUUGCCUUGCUUUCUUAAAAAUGAACCCACUAAUCCCUUCUAGAUAUUCAGCAUGAAUGUCAUUUAGCACAGUCUGAGAGCAGAUAAAUAAUCCCAUUCUUCUCUGUUCUCAUUUUCUUAUAUUUCACUGUAUGAAUAAAACCACUUCGUACACUGCUAUGAAAGAGACAAUAUUUAGAAGCCAUAGAGAAGACUAUCAAUUCAUGAAACUGAAUUCUGUAAAGAAAUUCACUCUGAAACAAAAGUAUAUUUUAAAUGUUUUUCAUUUUGAAUAAACUAUACUUCUGUAAAGAUGAAUUUGUUAAAUCAAAAAUUUCUCAAAAUUGUGAUAAAAGAGAAAAAACUUGAAAAAAAACCCAAAAAACUAAACCUCUUCAAUGUCCCCAUUCUCCUCCACAUAAAUCUUCUGUUUAAUAUCAAGUAUCUAAACAUAAACCUAAUUUAAACCCUUUUAAAAUAGUAUUUUCUACUGUGAUUUCUGUAUUAUUAUUAUGUGUUAUAUUUACCUGUAGAUCUUUAACUGAUCUAGAUGAUUUUGAACUUUCUACUGCUGACUAUAUUUAUUCUUUUACAUAUGAAAAUGACUUUACAUAGUACACCAUUUUAUGAAUAUGACUGUAUUUAUUUCUUCUAGUAGGCCGAUAGUCUUUAAGCCUUUUAUUGUUAUUUAUUUUAAAAUGGGUAUUCUGAUGAAUUAUGAGCAUGUGCUGAAACACUAUCUGUAGCUCAAGUUGGAAUACAGCUUUUUGUUCUGUGUACUUUACAGCACUUAAAUCUUUCUCCUUCCCGGACUCUCUGUAUUUUUUUUCAUUUUUAAAAGCCUUCUGUUUAUUGCUUCCACUAAUCUUUAGAUCUCUACUUAACCUCAUUGCCCACUGUUGCCCUUUUCUACAUUUAGAUUUAACCAGCAUGUCAAUUACAGUCUCUCCAGAAAAUUUCUGAAGCAUUUUCCAUUUUUAAUUUUAAAAACCCACCUUUUAAAAUGGUACUUGAACAAUAUCACAGCUUUCUUCAAGUACUGUGUUCAGAGAACUCUGUGUUCUUCCUGGUCCUUAGAAAACGUCAGUAGAAUUGGAGAAAAGAUGGAAUGUAAAGAUAUAUGUAUAUAUAUUUAUAUAAAAAAUAUAUAUGUAUAUAUAUUUAAAUAUCCAAAAAACCUCGUGAAAUUCAUUGAAUGUACUCGCUAUUGAUACAGUCUUGAGAGAAAGCCAAGUCACAAGUGUUAAAGGGUCUAAGUCUUACACACAAAAACUGAAGCACCUGUGAGAAGUCUGAGAGAAAUCAAGAAUGGUGUAACAGGUGUAUCUGAGAAGAUAAAAUAAAAUACAGAUGACUCCUUAAGUUCUAGAGCAGGGCUAAUAAUACCCAUCUUCCAAAGGUCACUCACUGCUGGAGUUACUGUUUUUUAUUGUUCUAAAUUAUCAUAUUCUUGGCAGUUUUUAAUGCUAUCAGCAAAUUCAUUUCUCACUUUAAUUUUAUUGUCUACAUUUAGAUAAGAUUUUCAUUUUUACCAUUUGAGAAGGUAGAAUGCAGAAACCCAUUGUAUUUUGCUGGAUUCUUUAAAGAUGAGUUCAUAAAUAUUGAAAUAACAUUCUAGACUGUCUUUUGUUUGAAGAUUUUCCAUACAUUUUUUUUCAGUUAUAAAAACAAGUUUUUCUGAAUUUGUCUUGACAAUUUUAUAAGAUUGUGUAUCAUCUAAUUGUGGCUCAGCCUUGUCCACCUUCAGUUCUAUAAGAGAGAAAUUGACAUCUUGGAGUUGUAGAGUUUUACUGCCCAUGUUCAAUUAUUUCUGUCACUUGGAUCACAAUGUGUAACUCUAAAUAAUGCCUUUCUUUCUUUAGUUAUCUUCUUUACCUUUCUAGCAGGUAUGACAAAACCACACCCUUUAUAAAUCAUAAAUAAUUUACUUCUUAUAGCAUGAAUUUUUCUUAGUUGCUACAAAUGAAAAAUAUUUUUGGUACAGGCAAUUAAUGUUCUGAUGGUGCCAGAAUAGGUGCUGGAAUUUAUUUGUUAAUGGCACUAAUUUUGUAUGUUAAAAAUAAUAUGGUUCUCAGCUCUCUGAAUGUGAGAACUUCUCAAAAGGUCAAAUCUGUGUGGUUCAACUAAAAAGAGAGGUGGAAAUUAACUUUGGAACAGGAGGACAUAGUUUAGUUCAUUGGGAGCCAAUUAGUUCUCUUCCAGAAUACAGAAAGAGUAUUGUAAGCAAAUGGUACUAUAGCUGCAUUUGAGUAAAGACACAUGGAGCUGCAUUACCCAACUCAAUUUUUAUGUUUUAAACAACCAUUUCCAUUACCCCUGUGAAACAUCACACAUGGAAGUCUCUUGAGGCUCUGUGUUUCAUUGGUGACUUUCUAGCCUACUUCCCUCAGCCUGCCUCAUUUUUUAAUUUGCACAGUACACUUGAGUUCUUUGGUUAGACAGUCAAAGAAAAGAUCUGUCAGAGGGAUUAGUAAGAAGACUUAAGGUUGUCUCAAGCAAGCUUAUGGUAAAAGGAUUUAAACAUACCAAGCAUUAGUGAAAGUGGUUGGCUAAAGAGGUGCAAACUUUCUACCUGUAGCCUGCUUUUCUGCAAGUCCCCAGUCAGUGAGCAGUUAUUCACCAGCCAUCUACAAAAUACACAGAGGUGUUCAUAUUCUUAAUGAUGUAGUCUAAAACAGUGCAAGGAGCAAAAACAAUAGAAGCAGAAAGAAAGAAUAUCUCAUACCGUCUUCCCCUACUACGGUACAUACUAUAUAAUAAAAAUGUGUCAUGGUUUUAUGAUUUCUGUUAUUGGUAUUCCACAUCAUAACAUCAUGUAGUGCACUUGGUGUUAAAGAGUUAAUGCUCCAGUUGCAUGGAUUGUCAGUAUUUUUGGGUACCUGGUUCUCACAAGAGAAGAACUACAUAAACCAGCAGACUUUUAUUGUUACAUUUCCUGUUUCCAUUUUCCAUUUAGAGGGAAAGAUAAAACUCCCUAGUCAUGAGAUUGGUUCCUUCUUUUACUGCUUGCCCCUGCAGUGUAUUCUUCCUAGCCAUCUCACCUUCAGUGCUAGAGUAAAGUCUUCAGUUUUGGACACUUUCUCAUUUAUUUGAUUUAUUAGCUUCAAUUCCAAUUAUAUUAGAUUACAUUGUGUUAUCUCACAUUCCACUGGCAUAUUUAGUGAAUUAGUUUUCUCCCUUAGCUUGUUGCCACUGUUUCGUUUUGUUUUUAGGCCCUCCUCUCUACCUUUUUCCCCUUUUUCUCUUCCCCCUAUCCUGGGGCAUGGGUCAGUGGGUCCCUCCACUGCACUAGUCAUGGAACUGGGCCAAACUGGCCCCAAACCCAUGCCAAAGUGUGAGAUUUGCAGCUUAGGGAGUCCUACUUCUGGGAAGCUUUAGUUCUGAAGUACCUUGAUCCUGCAGGUGCUUUUGCAUCCUGUCACCCACAGUCUUGCUUACUCUGAAUACAUGCUAUUGCAUACUCUAAGGCACUCUGAAGCUAAGCUUAUACAAUAUGUUUAUAAUCACAUAUUCAUUUCUAAAUGCAUUUUGAUUUCUACUCACUUCAUUGAUGUUUUACAAUAUUGAAUAAUUAUGACGAUUGGUUUUCAGUUAAAGAGCAAAAAUCUAGAGACUCAAAAUACUCAGGUGCAUGAUGAUUCUCCCAGAAAACAGCUACUCAUCUGUUUGGCUGGAGACUAUUCACAUUUUUACCAUGAAACACAUACUAUGAUAAAUAAAAUUGUAUCCUUGGAUAAUUUCUGUGUGUCAGCAAGCAGUUCUAGCCAGGGUGCCCAUGUAUGGUUUCUGACAUGGAAUGACAUGUGUUCACAACUGCCAGUCAUUCUAACUGAAAGAAGGGACAGUCUGCACACAGCAGGGUCAUGACAUCUAGCAGCCUGAGUAAACAAACUAGUGUUUCUCUCUCUCCUUCUUCCUCUUUCCAGACUGCUAAGGAGAAGUCAUAAACAUUUUACUUUUUUGGUUAUUUACUAGAACAAGAAGUCUCUGCUUUCCUUUUUUCAUCCAAGAUGGCACUAUGGAUAAUUUGUAAUUUAGAAGAUUUAGAACAUUUCACCUACUAAGUAUGAUAAAUACAAGCAACCAACAGAGGAAAAGUUACAUUUUAUUUCUUAUGGCAGAUUGUUGUAUUAUGCUUUGCUGAAAUAUAUACAAUUAAAUUGUCCAUCAACUAUUUUAUCAGCAACUCAUUAGAAGAAACUGUACAUUUAAAAUAGAGUAAUAAUGAACUUAGAUACAUUUUUUCAGCACAGCUGAGAGACUGCUUUCCAGUGCUGCCAUAUAAGGUAAUCAGGAAACACUGGACCCUGGUUCUGCUUAUUCAAGUGUAACCAAGAUUUGGAGUUUCCAAGUCCACUUUAAAAACCUUUAACUACUUAAAGCAUUGGAAUAAAGCUGACCACAAAGAUGGAAAAGAGAUGGAAGAGUGAGAAGAAGGAAAAAGAAGUUUUGAAGCAGAGACCAGAAAAAGAAAGACUGCGAAUGAUUUUGAAGCUCAUACAAGAUGUAGAAUGCCAAUCUCUUCUCUGUGUUCUAGAGGAGCUUUAAACAGCAAGCAAUAGAGUUGGCCAACUGAAGCACAUUAUUCAGCUGUGUUCUCUUUGGAGAUAACUGGUAAUUCUGAAAGGGAGAUGAGGGAGGAAGAAAGAAAGAAAGCUAUAACUUCUUGGUUUGUAAAUCUGCUGGUGAUAUAGUGAACUUAGAUUAAUUUCACAGCUCAAUCUUGAUAGUUAAAGUUGUGUUUUGUGUUUGAUCAUCCUAGGCCUGAGAACAUCCCUGUUAACCUUGUUGCAGCUCUCAACAAUGUAAAAAAAACUUCCUACCAAAUUAUAUUUUUAAUACACCUUAUGAUUUGGUAUAGAUAUGAAGGUAGAUGAAGAGGACAUAAAGAGAUACGUAGAAAAAGACCCAUAGUCCUUAAAAGGAGUUUUGCUCACUUCUGUAAAGGGACUGCAACAGUCCUUGUAGUAUUUUUUUUUGCAGGUGCUAUAAGAAUUACUCUGAAUGGCAGAAGAUGAACUUUGGCAGAAAAUACAGCGGAAACUUCAGCAGCUUAGGCAUGGUUAUAUACAGGUCUCAAUUGCUUUUAACUGAAGUCUUGUUUUGUUGUCUACAAAGGUUGUCUUGCUUUCAGAAAAGUAUGAGCUAUGUUUCAAUGAGACAGAAUUCUGAAAAAAAAAAAAAAAGUUUGAUGUUAUUUACAUUCACUGUAACUAAUCUGAAUCACUGAUUCUGGUUGGGACUGACAUCCCUGUCUAAGUCCCAAACCUAGUAUGAUUUUGUAUGUAGAGCCAGUUUAAAGUCACAGGCUCAGCUAGGUCUAGCUAGAACUGAUGAAGGAUAGAAGAUACAGAUUAAACAUUUUUCUCUAUUGUGAGACUAUAAAUAAAAAAUUGAAUGUGACCUUAUAACCAAAUGAUUUAUUCAUUGCUAUAUUAUUGAUAUCAAUGUGAAAUGUGUUGCUUUGCUGAGAAAGGGAAGGAUUUUGUGAGGAUACUGAAUGGUUGUUUUUUUUUUAGUGUCCUUAAAGUACAAACUGAUGGGGUCUGCUUCCUCUGUAGAAAUGGUAGUUUUCACUCAAAAGAAUAAAUGCUGUCACUUUAUGCUUCACAACUCUAGAAUGUUUCAGUUGUAGUGAAAACCCAGGAGUUUCUUGGCUUUUUGCUUUUAGUGGAGGACACAUUACUCUGUGAGAGACUUUACUUGGACAAAAUAACAUAGAAAAUGUUAACUUAGAAAAUAGACCAAAUAAUCUGCCACAGCUGUAGUUGUUUUUGUUUUGUUUUGUUUUUUACAAAUCAGCAAUGAACAAUUUGAUCUAAUUCAGAAAUAAUCAAAGGCUGCAUAAAUAUUUGGCUGCUACAAGUUUAAAAUAGUACCACGAUAAAAUUUCACGUACACAUGUCUUCUAAGAACAUAUUUCUUGUAAAUUUCACUGCACUGAAUAAUAACUUGAAUUAUUUUUAUCAGUACAAAAGUAAGUCUCCCUACACUACUCUAUUUUUUAUUAACAAUCACUUUUUAAUCUGUAUAUACUAUAUACAGCUAGUAGCUCUUUCAUUUUUGUACUUUCAAUCUGCUUCACAGGGUAUUAAUUAUGCACAAGUUGGCUACAUCUCUUCUGUCAUACCGAACAGCCACAUCUGCAUUUAAUCAUUCAUUAUAUGCUGUAAUCUACCACCUAACUUCCAGUCACUUUUACUAUCUAAAAGCAAGUAGGAGGUACUUAAGAAUCUAUCCCUGAAUAUCUAAUUGCAUACUUAACUGAUUAGUUUUAUAUGACAGUCUCUUAUAAACAUGCUAAUAAGUUGAAGACUCUUAAUUUGUAUCUACAUGCUACUGAUUUCUGUAUGAUUAUACAUAAUGAACUCAUCAUGAUCACACUUAGUGCUGCUCUUCUGAGAAUCAUGAAAAUAAAUGCAGAGUUUGGAGAGAAGGAUGUAGACAAAGGCAGAAAUGAUCAGUAAUAUGUUGCUUUGUAAGAGAUUUGAUGAGAAACUUCAUUCAGGUUUGCUUUGAGAAAUGGCUUAUUCCAAAUAGUUCAAGAGGAAAUAAAAGGACCAUGAAAACCUGGACAAUGAGGUAAACAAAAGUGAAAAGAAUUCACACAGAUGCUGUUUUACACCUAGCUCAACUAAUAACACCCAUCAUGCUCAGAGAUACAGGAAAAAGUGAAUCCAUGCCAAAUAAACCACCUCAGGUGUCAGUACUGGUGACUUCUAGUUACUUCCAAGCAUCUCAGUUAUUCACAGAACAGAGGCAAUGGGAGAGGUCCAAAGGAACUCUGUAUUGCCAUGUCACUGCUUUUCUGAGUAUUUCAAUACCUCCAUUAAAGUAAUGCCAUUACUAUGACCAAUUCACAAGCUUGAUUGAAAUUUCUUUAACAAUGUACAAUGUUGCAGACAGGAUGAGGUUAUCCAUUCCACCUCUGCUUUUUCUAGGGCAAUAGCUGAGAAAGGGAGUUUUAAAGGUAAACAGAAAUCUGAGGUAAUUCCUAAAGAAAAUGAACACUUACUAACUUUAAAGUAGUUAUUGUUAUACAAAGUGAGUUUUUGGGGUUAGCACAAAAGAAGAACAGCAUUUAAGGUCAAUAAAGGUGCAAUACUUUCCAUUGUUCACUGCAUUUCUACAUAAGUCUUAGAAACAGCACAAUCUGUAGCUCUCUUAUACAUAUAGGUAGCCUCUGGAGCUAUAUCACGGUUGUCCGUGAUUUUUCACUUGUUAUUAAAGGGCAUGAAUUCUUCCAAAGGGCAAGGCUAGUGCAUUUACUCAGACACCUACGCAAAUUGUCCCAGGAUCCUAAUUUGAUGUACCUCAGUGGAAAGUGAUUAGGGUCAGAGGACUUAAGCUGUAUUCUAACACAUAUUAGAUUUAAAUAAUCCUGUCUCAUCUCUUCUGGCUCCUAACCAGUUUAUUUUAACACUAAGUGAGUUUGUUUGUAAAGUCUAAAUGAAUUUUAACAGCUUCUAGUGACAUUUUACUAGAAAACAGAAAAACUGUAGCAAUUCAGGUUCCAAAGUGUAUCAGCGUUCAAUUUUUGAGGGUUUCUCAGUAGACUGAACUUUCCAGAGAUCCUUAUCAUUCAUAUAAAAUAGAUUGGGAUAAUAUCCUCAGAGUUAAUCUAUUUAAAAUGAAUAGUGAUCUUAGAUCCUUUCGGCAUUGGAUUUGUUAAGAAGAAAGUGAUAUUACUGCAGAGUUAGUCCCACUUCCAAGGCCAUGCAAUGGCUUUUCUCAAGCAAUUAAGAAGCUGUACAACUUCUACCUUUAAGAUAACUGUGGAAGAUAUAAUCUUUUAAGAUUAGACUACUCUACUGAUAGAAUUUAUCUUCUUUUCUCUCAUUAAAUAUUUUAAGAUUCUAAUUAACAGACCCUAUUCAAGAAUUUCUGAGAUGAAUGAAGGCAUAUUCAUAUUUUCUGAGAGCACUUUAUUCAGUCUUAUUUUAAAAGCCUAAAUUACAUAUAAGGUAUAUAUGUGUUUUUAAAUACAUUAGUCAGAAGGAAAUGAGUAAUAAUGCUGCACUGUAUUGUGCUGAUCUGUCCAGGCAUAGAAGAGGAUAAGUUGCUAUAUUUAUUGAUGCAAAACUUGUGGAUAACCUUGGUAAACCUUGCAUUUCCUCUGCAAUAGCUACAAAUGGUGGUUAAUGUUAAGCGAGAAAUUUGCAGAAAGCUUAUUAAAAACACAGCCUGUUUCUGCAGACUUUGUUUCGCUUUGACAUUUUAACCACAGUUUACCAGGAUGUGUCAAAACUUCUUGACUAGUCAUAGCAAUCUCCUCAGAAAAUAUGAGGAAAAGGUUUCUGUGCUCUUUCUUUCUUUCCUCCUUCUUUCUCUAUCCAUAAAUAUUUCAUAGAAUCAUACAGUUUUUUGAGUUGGAAGGGACCCUUAAAAGUCAACGAGUCCAACUCCCCUGUAAUUAAUAGGGACAUCCACAGCUAGAUCAGAUUUCUUAGAGUUUGUUCCAGCCUGAUCUUAAAUGUUUCUAGGGACUGGGAGUCCACCACCUCUCUGGGCAACCUGUUCCAAUGCUUCACUGCUGUUAUCAUUAAAAAAAACUUUGUUCUUAUACCCAAUCUAAAUCUCCUCUCUUUUAGUUUGAAACUAUUUCCCCUUGUCCUAUUAGAAAAGACCCUACUAAAGAGUCUGUCUCCUUCCUUCUCAUAGCUCCUUUUAAACACUGAAAGGUCACUAUCACGUUUCCCUGGAGCCUUCUGUUCUCCAAACUGGACAGUCCCAGCUCUCUCAGCCUGUCCUCUUAAGGGAGUUGUUCCACCCCUUGGAUCUUUUUUAUGGCCCUCCUCUGGAUGCUUUCUGACAGAUCCACACCUCUCCUGUACUGAGGACUUCACAUCUGUCAUUGCUGCAGAGACCAGCUUUAGAGCAG
ensembl:lncRNA